rnacentral:rRNA from 1 species
GACGAGCCUCACGAACGUUAUUCGGAAUUAUUGGGCGUAAAGAGCUCGUAGGCGGUCUGUUGCGUCGGCUGUGAAAACCCGGGGCUCAACUCCGGGCCUGCAGCCGAUACGGGCAGACUAGAGUUCGGCAGGGGAGACUGGAAUUCCUGGUGUAGCGGUGAAAUGCGCAGAUAUCAGGAGGAACACCGGUGGCGAAGGCGGGAUCCUGGGCCAGUACUGACGCUGAGGAGCGAAAGCGUGGGGAGCCGAACAGGA